ACCUGAGGAUAGCUCAGUCAGUAGAGCAUGGGUCUCUUAAUCUCAGGGCCCUGGGUUUGAGCCCCACGUUGGGCA
rnacentral:tRNA from 1 species